rnacentral:rRNA from 1 species
UACGUAAGUGGCGAGCGUUAUCCGGAAUUACUGGGCGUAAAGCGUGCGUAGGCGGUUUAGUGUGUGGGAUUUGAAAGCCCGGGGCUCAACUCCGGAUCCGGAUCCCAAACUGCUAGACUCGAGCGUAUCAGAGGAGAGCGGAAUUCCCGGUGUAGCGGUAAUAUGCGUAGAUAUCGGGAGGAACACCAGUGGCGAAGGCGGCUCUCUGGGGUAUU